rnacentral:rRNA from 1 species
GUGCCAGCAGCCGCGGUAAUACGGAGGGUGCAAGCGUUAUCCGGAAUCACUGGGUUUAAAGGGUGCGUAGGCGGCCCAAUAAGUCAGUCGUGAAAUCGCUGGGCUCAACCCAUGCAAUUGCGAUUGAUACUGUUGGACUUGAAUGGGGUUGAGGCUGGCGGAAUGCGACAUGUAGCGGUGAAAUGCUUAGAUAUGUCGCAGAACACCGAUUGCGAAGGCAGCCAGCUGGGCCUUUAUUGACGCUGAGGCACGAAAGCGUGGGGAGCAAACAGGAUUAGAUACCCCCGUAGUCC